rnacentral:rRNA from 1 species
UACGUAGGGGGCAAGCGUUGUCCGGAUUUAUUGGGCGUAAAGAGCGUGUAGGCGGCCAGACAGGUCCGUUGUGAAAACUCGAGGCUCAACCUCGAGAUGUCGAUGGAAACCGUCUGGCUAGAGUCCGGAAGAGGAGUGUGGAAUUCCUGGUGUAGCGGUGAAAUGCGCAGAUAUCAGGAAGAACACCUAUGGCGAAGGCAGCACUCUGGGACGGUACUGACGCUGAGACGCGAAAGCGUGGGGAGCGACAGG